rnacentral:tRNA from 1 species
UCCUCCUUAGUUCAGCGGUAGAACGAACGACUGUUAAUCGUUAAGUCCCUGGUUCGAUCCCAGGAGGGGGAG